AGACACAGCUUAUCCUCACACACACAUAAGCGCUUUGCAUAUUAGUUACAGCUCUUUUUAUAAACCGAGUUCUUAAUCUCAACAUAAAGAACCAGCUCCUGGUUUGGUUGAUUCUUUGUAUAGUUCUUUUUGUUUACACCUGGUUGAUUUCAGCCCUGAGUUUGAUUAUUUCCUGCUGUCUAUUCCUCUUGGGUGUAUUUGCUUCCUUUUGCUCUAUAGCUUUUAGGUGUGUUGUCAAGCUGCUAGUGUAUGCUCUCUCCAGUUUCUUUUUUUUUUUUUUUUUUUGGGCGGGGCACUUAGAGCUAUGAGUUUUCCUCUUAGAACUGCUUACAUUUUGUCUAUACAUUUCGGUAUGAUGUGCCUUUAUUAUCAUUAAAUUCUAAAACAUCUUUAAUUUCUUUAUUUCUUCCUUGACCAAGUUAUCAUUAAGAGUUUCCAUGUGUAUCUGAUAGGAUGCAUGGGAUUAUUUCAAUCUUCUUGGAUGUGCUGAGGCCUGUUUUGUGACUAAUUAUAUGGUCAAAUUUUGGAGAAGGUAACAUGAGGUAAGAAGGUAUAUUCUUUUAGGAUGAAAUAUUCUAUAGAUAUCUGUUAAAUCCAUUUGGUUCAUAACUUCUGUUUCACUAUGUCUCUGUUUAGUUUGUGUUUUCAUGAUCUGUCCAUUGAUGAGAGUGGGGUCUCAUUGUAGUCUCCCACUAUUAUUCUGUGAGGUACCAUGUGUGCUUUGAGCUUUAGUAAAGUUUCUUUUAUGAAUGUGGUUGUCCUUGCAUUUGGAACAUAGAUGCUCAGAACUGAGAGUUCAUCUUAGUAGAUUUUUCCUUCAAAGAGUAUGAAGUGUCCUUCCUUAUCUUAUUUGAUAACUUUUAGUUGAAAGUCAAUUUUAUUCAAUAUUAGAAUGGCUAGUCCAGAUUUUUUCUUGGGACCAUUUGCUUGGAAAAUUAUUUUCCAGC
rnacentral:lncRNA from 1 species